AUUUUCAGCAAUCUGUUUUUUUGCUCACAGACUUCCAAGUUAAAGUUGUAAACAGCCUGUGGAAUUGGAAAUAUCUUCACAUGCAUUUGAAGACUGUGUUUCUAUUUCAUGACCUCUGUUUCCUGCUGGCCCCUGAUCAUUCUGUUCUGAACUGUUUUCUGACCAGGUAGUUAUCCAUAAGGAGUAUAGUGGAGAGAAUGUUGAAUGCAGACUGUAGUGAGUGUCACAGGUUAUCUACUUGUCCACACAAGUGGAUACAGAUAAGAUACUGCACAGCACAAGCAAUAUCCCUCUUCAAAGAAGAGAAGGAUUCAAGCUGACUCUUAUCAACAGCUUACUGCAUAACUGAUAAUUCAAUUUCCAGCUUCUCUUAUUACAUUAGUUCAUCAUAUUGUCACCAACUGCAUGAAGUAACCAUGAAGUAACAGGUUUUGACCACGGAAACAGAUAGCAGUAGUAAGUGAUAUUGUUUCUACCAGAGCAUUUUCUUCCUCUAUUGCAUGCUUCUGUCUGCUCUGGAUCAGUAUGAGUAAUCACACCUGGACUGAUGAGUGGGUACUAAAACUGUAGUUUCA
rnacentral:lncRNA from 1 species